AGCACAAGACCGAAACGCGGCUGCCUGUGUGCAGCCAGGGGAGGUUGGCUGUCACACAACAGUUUAACUCCAAACCCCAGUCUGUUACACGGCACCAGUGCUCUUCAAGCGGAUCCUCCAUCUAUAGCACUCGGCCUGCCAGAGAUCCACCUUCGAUCAGGGGAGCUGGAUCUCAGUACAUCUGUGACGAGUGGAGGUACCAGCCAACACAGAGGAGCAAGGGUGGAGGCUGCAGGUCGACCUGGUGGAUCUGUGUCCAUCUCGGCCACUGAGGAUGCCUGGGGUUGGUUAAAGGAGCUGGUGCCUGCUCCAGGAAGCGCAGGACACAAGGAAAGUCAGCCAG